rnacentral:rRNA from 1 species
GACGAACGCUGGCGGCGUGCUUAACACAUGCAAGUCGAACGGACAGGCCCUGCUUUUGUGGGGUGCUCGAGUGGCGAACGGGUGAGUAACACGUGAGUAACCUGCCCUUGACUUUGGGAUAACUUCAGGAAACUGGGGCUAAUACCGGAUAGGAGCUACUGCUGCAUGGUGGGGGUUGGAAAGUUUCGGCGGUUGGGGAUGGACUCGCGGCUUAUCAGCUUGUUGGUGGGGUAGUGGCUUACCAAGGCUUUGACGGCUAGCCGGCCUGAGAGGGUGACCGGCCACAUUGGGACUGAGAUACGGCCCAGACUCCUACGGGAGGCAGCAGUGGGGAAUAUUGCACAAUGGGCGGAAGCCAGAUGCAGCAACGCCGCGUGCGGGAUGACGGCCUUCGGGUUGUAAACCGCUUUCGCCUGUGACGAAGCGUGAGUGACGGUAAUGGGUAAAGAAGCACCGGCUAACUACGUG